rnacentral:rRNA from 1 species
CACGCAGCUACCAUGCAGUCGAGGGGUAACAUUGUGCUUGCACAGAUGACGACCGGCGCACGGGUGCGUAACGCGUAUAGAACCUACCUUUUACAGAGGGAUAGCCUUUAGAAAUGAAGAUUAAUACCUCAUAGUAUUGCGAUUUGGCAUCAGAUUGUAAUUAAAGAUUUAUCGGUAAAAGAUGGCUAUGCGUCCUAUUAGUUAGUUGGUAAGGUAACGGCUUACCAAGACAUCGAUAGGUAGGGGUCCUGAGAGGGAGAUCCCCCACACUGGUACUGAGACACGGACCAGACUCCUACGGGAGGCAGCAGUGAGGAAUAUUGGACAAUGGAGGAGACUCUGAUCCAGCCAUGCCGCGUGCAGGAAGACUGCCCUAUGGGUUGUAAACUGCUUUUAUACAGGAAGAAACACUAGUACGUGUACUAGCUUGACGGUACUGUAAGAAUAAGGACCGGCUAACUCCGUGCCAGCAGCCGCGGUAAUACGGAGGGUCCGAGCGUUAUCCGGAAUCAUUGGGUUUAAAGGGUCCGCAGGCGGUCGAUUAAGUCAGAGGUGAAAUCCCAUAGCUUAACUAUGGAACUGCCUUUGAUACUGGUUGACUUGAGUCAUAUGGAAGUAGAUAGAAUGUGUAGUGUAGCGGUGAAAUGCAUAGAUAUUACACAGAAUACCGAUUGCGAGGCAGUCUACUACGAUGUCCGACGCUCAUGGUACGAAGCGUUGGGGGAGCGACAGGAUUAGAUUCCCUGUAGUCCACGCCGUAACGAUGGACACUAGUUGUUUGGGAUUUUAUCUCAUGACUAGCGUAUUGGAUAGUGCCCACCUGGCUGAGUACGAUCGCAGUAUUAAAUAUUAUGAAU